CUUUCACUCCAUCAUCUCCUAAUGUCCUCAGAUCGCAGAUUCAAUUUAGGGCUCUGCGUACUUCGACUUCUCCAUUGAAGCGGCUUCUGAGCUAUACGCCUAUACUCCUUCAUCUCCUCCAUUGAAGCGUACUUCGACUUCUCCAUUGAAGCGGCUCUGAGCUUUCACUCCUUCAUCUCCUACAUUGAAGCGGCUCUGAGCUUUCACUCCUUCAUCUCCUCCAUUGAAGCGUACUUCGGCUCUCCAUUGAAGCGGCUUUUGAGCUUUCACUGUUGAGGAGUGUAUGGAAUCUGGAAGUAGUGGGGAUAUGGAAGACUCAUCGGCUACAAGUCAAGCUCCUCCAAUUCCAAGUCCUCCUCCCGAGCCUUGGGAGUAUGACCCUUGUCCAAUGACGGAAAAUAAUGACCCCUUUGACCAGCAAAAUCAAUCAAACCAACCUCUGAACCUGCUGAUGAUGCUGCCCCCUUAAGUGAAACUUCAAAAAAAUCUAGAAAAAGGCGCUCUCCUCAUUGGGAGCAUUUUAUAAAGAAUGAUGGAGAAAACAAGGAUGAAUGUAUCUAUUGUCAUACAUUCAUUGGUUGUGCAUCACUUCAAGGUACCUCCGGCAUGAAGAACCACAUAAAGCGGUGUAAGGAAUACCCCCCAAACAUUGAUCAAAAUCAGCAACUAUUGUCCCUUAGUCAACAAACUCUUGAUGGGAAUCUCGUGGAU